rnacentral:tRNA from 1 species
AGUUAUUUAGCUUAAGAAAAGCAUAUAUUUUGAAAAUAUUAGAUAGAUUUAAUUUAUUAACUU